rnacentral:rRNA from 1 species
UACGUAGGGGGCAAGCGUUGUCCGGAAUUAUUGGGCGUAAAGAGCGCGUAGGCGGUCCGAUAAGUCGGCUGUGAAAGUCCAGGGCUCAACCCUGGAAAGCCGGCCGAUACUGUCGGACUAGAGUCCGGAAGAGGCGAGUGGAAUUCCCGGUGUAGCGGUGAAAUGCGCAGAUAUCAGGAAGAACACCCGUGGCUAAGGCGGCUCUCUAGUACGGUACUGACGCUGAGACGCGAAAGCGUGGGGAGCGAACAGG